UACAGAGGGUGCAAGCGUUAAUCGGAAUUACUGGGCGUAAAGCGUGCGUAGACGGUUAUGUAAGUCAGGUGUGAAAGCCCCGGGCUCAACCUGGGAGGUGCGCGCGAAACGGGGGGGGCUUGAGUUCGGGAGAGGAGAGUGGAAUUCCCAAUGUAGAGGUGAAAUUCGUAGAUAUUGGGAAGAACACCGGUGGCGAAGGCGGCUCUCUGGACCGAGACUGACGCUGAGGCGCGAAAGCGUGGGGAGCAAACAGG
rnacentral:rRNA from 1 species